UACGAAGGGGGCUAGCGUUGUUCGGAAUCACUGGGCGUAAAGCGCACGUAGGCGGACUUUUAAGUCAGGGGUGAAAGCCUGAGGCUCAACCUCAGAACUGCCCUUGAUACUGGGAGUCUUGAGUAUGGUAGAGGUUGGUGGAACAGCAAGUGUAGAGGUGAAAUUCGUAGAUAUUUGCUAGAACACCAGUGGCGAAGGCGGCCAACUGGACCAUAACUGACGCUGGGGUGCGAAAGCGUGGGGAGCAAACAGG
rnacentral:rRNA from 1 species